rnacentral:rRNA from 1 species
GGCGAUCAGGUACCGCCCUAGUUCUGACCGUAAACGAUGCCAACUAGCGAUCCGCCGGCGGCUCCAAGGCCCUGGUGGGGAGCUUCCCGGAAACGAAAGUCUUCCGGUUCCGGGGGAAGUAUGGUUGCAAAGCUGAAACUUAAAGGAAUUGACGGAAGGGCACCACCAGGAGUGGAGCCUGCGGCUUAAUUUGACUCAACACGGGAAAACUCACCCGGCCCGGACACCGUGAGGAUUGACAGAUUGAUAGCUUUUUCAUGAUUCGGUGGUUGGUGGUGCAUGGCCGUUCUUAGUUCGUGGAUCGAUUUGUCUGGUUUAUUCCGAUAACGAGCGAGACUCCAGCCUACUAAAUAGUGCGGGCAUUGCCUCUGUGCCAUGUACUUCUUAGAGGGAUUGGCUGCGUCUAGCGGCACGAAACGGAGCAAUAACAGGUCUGUGAUGCCCUUAGAUGUCCGGGGCUGCACGCGCGCUACACUGGCAAAGGCAGCGUGCUUGUCCGUCUCCGAAAGGAGCCGGUAAACCCUUGAAAAUUUGCCGUGAUUGGGAUCGGAAAUUGCAAUUAUUUUCCGUGAACGAGGAAUUCCUAGUAAGUGCGAGUCAUCAGCUCGCGUUGAUCACUCCCUGCCCUUUGUACACACCGCCCGUCGCUGCCUAGAACUGAGCCAUUUCGAGAAUAUUCGGGAUCGCCGGUUGUGUCGUCCUCCGGGGCGCGCCUCUGGCCUGAGAACGAACGUAAUCGCAGUGGCUUGAACCGGGCAAAAGUCGUAACAAGGUAGCUGUAGGUGAACCUGCUGCUGGAUCAUUACCUUGUCAAUUACGACAUAGUAAGCAAACGUACGGUGCCGCAGUCGUAGACUCACGGUCGGUAGCAAGUCUCUGCUGCUGGCCCUUCUGCGGUGGCCGCUUGGGGAGUUCACGAGUGCCAGCUGACUUGCUGGCGAACAAGCAGUCGCCCCGAACAGACUCUUGUUCAGCUCCUAGCUCGUGAACGAAAACGGCUCGCUGGAUCCUAGGCAAACGCUGAGCAGUUGUUGCAUCUAAUGUCCGUGGCUGCAAAUGAGGCGUUUGUGGUAGCCCCCGAAAGGGGAGGAGGAUUAAUGAGUACCGGAUCGGUGCCUCCAGCAAAAUCUUUUUCACUACAUUUUUUAACAAACAAAUACAUAUUAGUCUUGCCGGUGGAUCA